rnacentral:rRNA from 1 species
GUCAAGAAAGGCUCUGUUCUCUUAACACGGAUGGAAAGUAUAACGUCAUACAAAAACCAACAUGGACAACCCAGAUCUGGAACUGCAGAACAAUCUGACACUCCAGUGUCUGCUAAUGACAUGUGUUUCCUUGCUGAAUGGCCAUCCCAUGCUCGCUGCAACCACGCGCUACUGCAGGAUGAAGCUGGUGGACAGAAGAAGAAAGGGCGAGGUGUUCUAAAGGGUUUUAAAGCAUCUAAGAAGCGUUUUGCCAAUGGAUCUGCAAAGCUAAAUAUUACAUUCUCUAAAAAAUUGGGUGGUACAGUAGGAAUGAACUAUCGUUCGUUCAAGGGUGACAUGGUAGUCAUAAUGAAAAGAAAGUUACCACUCAUUGGAGUGAGGACGUGGUCGGACAUUCACCCUACCAUUCAUCGACUCAUUGUUGCAGAUAUGAUAGACAGAUGGGACUUGGAAGAUACACCAGAAAUAGAAGAAAAAGUUCUCAAAAUUGCAAAAGAGAGAUGUAGAGGCUGGUGAUCAACUCUAAGCUCCACUUACAAGGCAUACAAAACAGAUGCAGCUAGAUUGGCUAAUCUGCCGGAAGAUUUACAACCAGAAGAGUGGGAAUGGAUGAUUGAGUACUUUGGCACUGAUUCAAAAUUUCAGGACCGCAGCCAAAAGAACGCCGAUAACCGUAAGAAACAGAAGACAAAACACAUAAUCAGAUCAAAAUCUUACUCGCAAGUUAGUUUUGAGAAGAGAAACUUGGAAACUGGAGAAGAGCCAGAUUGUAUUGCUCUAUGGGAACUCACCCACACAAACGAUGGAACAUGGUCUAACAUAGAUUCCUAGAAAGUUUACGACAAAGCACUUCAAGAGGUUAAAAACAAAGAAACUGAAACUGAAGGUCCACUUUCAAGUGAGCAGAAAAACAAUAUUUUCUAG